CCAAACAUGAAAUUAACGUGGCACUUUGAGCGCUGUGUUUGAUAGCCAAUAACUUCGCUUCUGCAGAACGCAUUGAAGUACUUUUGCGGCAAAUUAUUUCUGAAAUGGCC
rnacentral:lncRNA from 1 species